rnacentral:rRNA from 1 species
UGGCGAGUUCAGUAUGGGAGAGGGAAGUGGAAUUCCGAGUGUAGGGGUGAAAUCCGUAGAUAUUCGGAGGAACACCAGUGGAUAAGGCGGCUUCCUGGACCAAUACUGACGCUGAGACGCGAAAUCGUGGGGAGCAAACAGGAUUAGAUACCAUGGUAGUCCACUCGGUAAACGAUGAGCACUAGCUGUCGCGGGUAUUGACCCCUGCGGUGCGGUAGCUAAUGCAUUAAGUACCCCGCCUGGGGAGUACGGCCGCAAGGCUAAAACUCAAAGGAAUUGACGGUGGCCCGCACAAGCGGUGGAGCACGCGGUUUAAUUCGAUGCAACGCGAAGAACCUUACCUGGGUUUGACAUCCCUAUCGUAUUCCAUGGAAACAUGGGAGUCAGUUCGGCGGGAUAGCUGACAGGUGCUGCAUGGCUGUCGUCAGCUCGUUUCUUGAGAUGUUGGGUUAAGUCCCGCAACGAGCGCAACCCUUGUCCUUAGUUUCCACCAUUCAGUUGGGCACUCUAAGGAGACUGCCGGUGUUAAACCGGAGGAAGGUGGGGAUGACGUCAAGUCCUCAUGGCCCUUAUAUCCAGGGCUACCCCCGUGCUCCAAUGGCCGGUACAAAGGGUCGCAAUCCCGCAAGGGGGAGCUAAUCCCAAAAAGCCGGUUUCAGUUCGGAUUCGAGUUUCCAACUCGACUCCAUGAAUUCGGAAUCGUUAGUAAUCGGGUAUCAGCAUGACGCGGUGAAUACGUUCCCGGGCCUUGCACACACCGCCCGUCA